AUGUCAGUGUCAUAGUUGACAUGUGUCACUUCGUUCUAAUUUAAUUAUAAAGCGUCCGGCGGGCUGGGCGUUGCUAUUGAUUGAUCAAAUUCUAUGUUUACUGUAUAAUAAGCAAAAACAGCAGACAAUUUAAGUAUAUCCUUAAAUAAACCAUAAUUUUGAAGAUGAAAUCGCCAAGUAUAUUGUGUGUUAUAGCCACAUUAAGCAUAGUGAAGUCAGGUAAGUAAACUUAAAUUACUUCAAUGUGUUAUUCCCAUUUGAGUUUUUGUUAAUUAUUGUUAUUUCUCUAUAAUAGUUGAUUCUAUAAGCUGUUAUCAGUGCUCCGGGACCGAUUCGGAUAACCCGUUUGAGUGCAAUGAAUUUUUGGAUAGCAAUACUGGAUUGGAACCAGUCGACUGUAGCAAUAUUCAUGAUGCACAGUAUUGUAUAAAACAUGUAGGAAGGAACGAAGGUGAGAAAGAAACCUGAUCCUCUGAUGCUGCAUGUAGAAUUGGAAUAUUUGUUAUUGAAUGACAUUAUCUUACAAAAUGUCUCAGUGCAUCAUUCAUGUGCUUCUAAAUACUAAAACUUAACAUGAUUACCAAUUUUAUGUAAUCUUGGGACUAACUUAAUCAUUUUCUAAUAUACGAGGUACCAAUAAUGCGGUUUUUAUUGCUUAAAAAAAAUAUUUAGUGCUUGAAUGUAAGGGACAAUGGUGUAGUACUAGUUGUGAUGGUAACUGUAGAAGAAAUGUUAAUUACAAAAGCCUCACUUAGACCAUUUUAAGUAUUGUAACCCAUGUGUGCGAGAUCCUUUCAAUUAAUUCAAGGUUAAUAACAUAUAUUUUAUGUACAAUUUCUUAUUUACGUAGUUAAGAAGUAAUUUAAAUAAAAACUAACCCUUAUUUAUUUAUGGGCAAUUAUUAUAACAAAUCAGGAACACCCUACAAUGAUGAAUAUAAGUAAUAAUUAGCAAAUUUAGUACUGGGUAUUGAUAGACAGAAUACCCUUUAUUGCACUUAAAAAUUGUAGAAAUAAAUUUGGUAUCCUCGCAGACAACUAAUAAGAGAAAACAGUCUUUGUUAUUUAUAUAUCAUUAAAUAUACUAACCAUUGCAUCUAGGUAUAGCCAUAGAAUGCUAUCAGUGCAACUCGUCUGCAACUAUGGAAUGUGGAGAUGCUCUAAUGAACCUCGACGGUGGCGUGCUGUCUCCGACGUCUUGCGAACAUGUGCAUAAUGCUCAAUACUGCAUUAAACUAACAGGUUAUAUUAGUGGAUUGAAGGUUGUGGGUGAAAAGCACUGAAAAGCUGAAAAUAUUUUGUAAAAAUAAUAAAUUGCUGUUUUUCCUAAGUUUGUUUAUGGACCAAAUAGUAGAAUAUUAUAAUAAUAGAAGGCUUUCUUACCUCUUUUAGUUUAUGUUUUCAAUAUCCUAAGUAUCAGACAGUACCUACUUGGUACAGUCAUGGUCUAACAAAAAAGUGUUAUACCUUAUUUUCAAAGUGCUGAAAUGUCAAAUUUACUUAAAAGUUUAAUAUUGAACUUUGUACCUAUGUGGGGUAGACUUCCCUAAUAUGAAAAGCUGUCUUUGUCAAGAUGUAAGUGGUUUUUUUUUUACAAAAUUAAUAUAUUAUUUUGCUAAUGUUUACCAUGAAAUAUUUUCAGCUUAUGAUAUAUGUUUAACAUUUAAUUUUUGUUCUUCACAUAAAGUACAAUCUUUAAUUUUUUUCACUAAUUUCGGGCACAUGGUAUGUGAGUUUUAUUUCAGUAUAGCACGAGGCACGUACUAAUAUUGUCAAAUAAAAUUAAAUUACCUUAUUGGUGGCAUUAGUACAAAACGUUAUUGUUCGUCCUUGGAUCUCGGAAACUAUUGUAAUUAUGUACAACAAGCUGGCGACAAACUGGAAUACAGAACUUGCAUCUACACAUGUAGCUCUGACGGGUGCAACGCUGCGACCAGU